CGAUAGGAGGCGAGCAUAACCAGGCCUAACUUAAACCUGUUAAAAGACAACCCGGGUUCGCAGCGCGAUUUUAAAAAACAAGAUUGAAGAAGUUAGAAAUUCUAUCUACAUGCUGCAUAUGAUCAGUCCCAAAAAAAUUCGGAUUGUUCCAGGCACCGUCGAAUACCUGGAAAACGUGUUUAUUGUCAACUCUACAGGAUCGACAGAAGUCCAUGGAGUUGGGGGCAUUCGAUGUGCUCUAUAGCAGUGAGACGCCACUGUUUUUUUCGCCGUAUAAUUAUUAUGGUGGGACUGAAAAUGAACUUAAGCAAGAUGUGAUGGUGAUACAGCUUGGAGAACUUCAAAAGUCGGUUCGCGUCGUGGUUCCAAAGCAGUAACUUUAGGUUCCCUACAUUUACAGAAUGUGGCAUUAAGUACUCAUUUUUUAAUUUGCA